GACGCGAUAGCGCAGUCGUUAAGUGGGCUUGACUUGGGAUCAAAAGGUCCUGGGUUCAAGCCCUGGCCACGGCC